rnacentral:rRNA from 1 species
UACGGGGGGGGCAAGCGUUGUCCGGAAUUAUUGGGCGUAAAGGGCGCGUAGGUGGGAAAGCAAGUCUGGGGUGCAAACUUGUGGCUUAACUGCAAGCUUGCCCUGGAAACUAUUUUUCUUGAAUUCGGGAGAGGGAAACGGAAUUCCUGGUGUAGCGGUGAAAUGCGUAGAUAUCAGGAAGAACACCGGUGGCGAAGGCGGUUUCCUGGCCCGAUAUUGACACUGAUGCGCGAAAGUGUGGGGAGCAAACAGGAUUAGAUACCCUGGUAGUCCACACAGUAAACGUUGGGCACUAGGUGUUGGUUCGUAAGGAUCAGCGCCGCAGCUAACGCAUUAAGUGCCCCGCCUGGGGAGUACGACCGCAAGGUUG